CAUAUCUGCAGUUCUUACCUGUGAGCAUAUUAUUACUACUGCUCAGACAGCCUUUAGAAGCAAACCGCCUAAAUGAUGUGGACAGUUGGAAUGUGCCUUUAGCUUCUCUGAUGAAGCAUAGAUGCUGAGAUGAAGUCAGGAGAGGAGAGAAAGCAAAGGUCAGGCCGAGGCCCAGGCUGGAGAUUGGACAAGGGAAGCCUCACAUCACAGUGCAGACAGCAGGUGCACAGCAGGUGCAGAAGACAGCAGGUGUGGAUGUGGCAGAUGCGGACAUGGCAGAUGGAGUCUCGCUCUGUCAUCCAGGCUGGAGUGCAGUGGUGUGAUCUCGGCUCACUGCAACCUCCACCCCCCCAGGUUCAGGUAAUUCUCCUAUCUCAGCCUCCCAAGUCACUGGGACUACAGGCACGCACCACCACACCCAGCUAAUUUUUUUUUGUCUUUUCAGUGGAGAGAGAUUUCACCAUGUUAGCCAGGAUGCUCUCCAUCUCCUGACCUCGUGAUCCACCCACCUCGGCCUCCAAAAGUGCUGGGAUUGCAGGCACGAGCCACCGCGCCCAGCCUUAAAACUCCUUUCUUUACACUUUACCCAGCCUUGGGCAUUCUUUCAUAGCAAUGUGAAAAUGGACUGGCACAGGCCUUCUGGACACCACAGACAAACCUAAGCCAAACCCAAGCAAGAGCCUGUGGUGGGUGUGAGCCGGGCAGGUGGGGCUGGGGCAGAAGGUGCAGGGUGGGAGCGCGUCCAGGAGGGACAAAGUCAUCCGGCACCCUGGGGUUGCUGUGGCACUGGUGUGCCCAUGGCUUCCUGAGGGCCACUAUGUAGUGACUGUGCACAGCAGCUCGCAGAUGCACCGAGAGUCUGAGGAGAUUUGCACAGGCACCAGGACGCUGUGUCCAAAGUGGUUUCAGAUGACCCUUUUCAGGAAAAUGUCAUUGCAGCAGUUUGCAGCACCCAUGGGUCCAUGUUACACCCCCAACCCAUUUUACAGACCUCACUGAAGGUGAGAGGUGAUCUGAACUAGGAAGUGUGGGUUACAUGAGCAUGUGUGACUGAGUGUGUGUGUAUGUGUGUGUGUGGCUGCAGAGGGAAGUCCAUGCCAAGUGAGCUGGCCUUUAAUGUCAGGAUGCACAGGGUCAGUCUCUCAGCCAUUACCCACCCCACACAGGGUUUGCUGAGAUAGGUGGCUAACCUCACUUAAAAAAUAAAAAAAGGGGAGGUGGCGCCCUGCUCGUGUCAGUUGUUCUCUUUGGUGGUGAUGGUGACCAGAUGCUUGGCGAUGUUGUAUGCACACUGGAUGACCUCCUGUGUGACCAGCUGGACAUCUGUGGGUGAACCUGGGUCCCCCGGGAGGGUCUUCUUGCACUCUGACUGCAGUCGGUAGGCACUGGAUGUCAGCGAAUGAAGGGAAGUCCUCAUCAUAUCAGACUUGGGUUUUUUGGGGAAUAAUGCCGCUAUUUCUGUAACAGCUAUGUGUAUCCUCUCUGAGCAGGGAAUAUACCUCAUUAUCCUCUUUAAUUCUCAAUAAGAGACUCAAAUGUUUCCCAGCAAUCUUAAAAAUACAAAGUGCAGUUCUUUUAGUGGACCAGCCUUGCUAACAUGGUGAAACCUCGUCUGUACUAAAAGAGAAUAAUAAUGAAAAAUUAGCUGGGUGUUAGUGGCAUGCACCUGUAAUCCCAGCUACUCAGGAGGCAGAGACAGGAGAACUGCUUGAGCCUGGGAGGCAGAAGUUGCAGUUAGCCAACAUCAUGCCAUUGCACUCCAGUCUGGGCGACAGAGUGAGACCCUGCCUCAAAAAAACAAAAACAAAAAUGUUUAUAUGUGAAUUUGUGUCAGAUCAAAAUNNNNNNNNNNNNNNNNNNNNNNNNNUGAGCUGUGAUCGUGCCACUGCAC
ensembl:lincRNA